rnacentral:rRNA from 1 species
GCGUGGAGGACGAAGAUUCUCGGAUCGUAAACUCCUGUCAGAAGGGACGAAAAGGCAACGGUCAAUAGCCGUUGCCCCUGACGGUACCUUCAGAGGAAGCCCCGGCUAACUCCGUGCCAGCAGCCGCGGUAAUACGGGGGGGGCAAGCGUUAUUCGGAAUUAUUGGGCGUAAAGGGCGCGUAGGCGGCCUGAUAAGUCAAAGGUGAAAUCCCUCGGCUCAACCGGGGAACUGCCUUUGAUACUGUCAGGCUCGAGGCCGGGAGGGGGUAGCGGAAUUCCCAGUGUAGCGGUGAAAUGCGU